AAAUUUUUUAUCUAUUUUUUCUUGUAAGUUGAAACUAGGUCUGGCUAACUGAUUCAACGCGUCGUCUGCUCUGGAUCAUCGCUCAUUUUCAGUAACAAUGGAAGGAGCAAGAAGGUCGAAGCCAGUCGUUGGCACAACGUGGCUAGCCCUCUGGAUUUUGGGCGCCUUCGUACUUCAGGAAUUUAGACGAGGAGACAGGCUUUGCUGGGCUGCAAAGCAAACAACUAGAAAUUGUCAUUAGAUAGUGUAACUAGAUCUUUUGACAGCUGAAUUCGUCACUUAAAAAAUUUCAAAGAAGACAAAAUCAGAGCAUGUCUAGAAGUUAUGACUGAACGUAAGAGUCCUUUUGGGAUUUCUGCUUGCAUCCGAGACUCUUCCCCAUCCCCAGCUUAAACAUUCAUUCUCGUCUCCAGUUGGUCAAGAAUUCAUCUAAAAUGUGGUAUUUUGCUACUGGAGUUUUAAUUGGAUGCGUGACGUACGGUUGGCAACGCAGUCGUGAAAUCCAAAUUGUUGUGUAUCGCGUGACGGCAUUCAAAUGAGAACCUGCUAUUGUGUGGCUGCCUGAUUGUAUAUUAAUGCGCAUACGGACUUGUCUGCGUGCCUGCACAUAUCGAUCGUCCGUUGUCUAUUGUUGGCCAAAUUUUGCGAGAGACUUAAAUUGCCUGCAGAAAAUAGACCCCCCCCCCCCCCAUUAAUCGGAACCUCGGGAUAGAACCGUCUACGUGUGAAUCAUCUUUUGAAAAUCCGCCAUUUGGCCGUCUGAGAUGCCCGUUUUGCCAUGAUGGUUUCCAUUUCCUUGCAGAGCCUGGCUGUUGGCAACAAAGCCAACGUGUUCCUGCACAGCAAUUCAAACACUUCCCUCAUUCACAUCGUGUGGAAGGAAUGAAUACCUUUAUCGCAUGUCAAAGAUAAGGAGAAACUACUUUAAAUUGCUGUAUUACGAAGAGCUGAUCGUUCAACCAAUGGCAGAGCGUCUUGUUGUAUACAACGGAAAUCGCAUUCAGGAGACCGUUCCCGUUAGCUCGCACUAUUGCGCGUUUUCGUUGGCGGGAGAUAACACUUUGAUUCGUCCAAAGAGGAUUCUGUAUAAAGGGAAAAGUGUUAACUUACCUGUGGAUGCUGAAUAAGAGUUAAAUAUUUAAAUCAGCCUCUGCAAUAUUGCCAUCCUUUAUGAGUGGUCGACACGCCUCAGGACAUUCGUUGGCUUUUCCCGACCAGCCUCCGAUAUUGCCAAAAGCAAAGCCAAUCCGUUGACUUGGAAACGGAUUGAAAAUUUGGCAAUCACAUUUUUUCAUUAAGGGAUCAAGUUUUACAAUAAUAGGUUUACGACAACGUGUUGACUUGUGACGCUGUCCGGCAUUUAUAAAAAUCCUCUUCUAACCUUGAUUGGGAUCUCGUGCUCUGGGCAAGUUUAGAAAGGCACAUGCUUUUUAUUUAUGUUUAAAAAGUAUUAAAUCAUUUGAAGGCAUCAGUGAAAUUUAAUAGGAAUUAUACCAGCCAAAACAGAGACACCUUGCCGAGGAUGAUCUCUCAUCGUUUGAAAACGUGUCAUUUGAUCGCAGCCAUUCUUGCACGGCAUCAAUUUCCCUCUGCAAAAUGAACGCCGUCAAUGUUCCGUUAGUUGUAAACAUGGACAUCGAGGACUACUAGGAAACGCCACAUUUGCGAUUCGAGUCGUCGGGAAAAGGUCGUGAUCUAUUGGCUCACGUCUUGACCUUUGGCAGCUGUUGGUAAUACGACGUUUGUUUUGGAUCUAAUCCGGCAUGUUGCAGAGGUCAACGUUAUUGUAGUACACGCUGCAGAGGUGGCCGUAAACUGGCCCAUCGCUAUUGAAAUUAUAGUGACAAUCCCGGGAUUUCUUCCACGGCUCGAUGACUCGCACGUCCACUAGCUCCGUUUUUUUUUUUUUUUUGGCGCGUUGACUCCCUUUGGCACUUGCACAACGGUGAAAUUAACAAUCUGUUAUCGAUUUCUUGGCAAACUGGAGAUGCCGUUUCAGCAACAAGGUCACGUACGCCACCAAUUCCUGUGUGUGCACACUCGAGAAAUGAACAGCCCCGAGAUUUUCUAUCAUCGCAGUGUCACGGGAUUAAUGUACGAGCUCUUAACGCGGUCAACGUAAGCCGUAGCUCAGUGCACACCCUUUUCGGGGUGUUGGUCGAAAAUUGAAAAUGCCAACGACGUACUUUUUCCUCUCCAAAGAAGCAAAGUCACGUGUUUUGGCUAAAUGAUGAACUGCGUGAAUCGAUUGCUUUUAAAAUGCAAAUGGAGAAAUGUGCGAGUCCUGGCUGAACUUUGUCUCUACAGAGGAGAUACACGCAAGAUAAGGAUGUUUUCGAGAAAACCGGGCGUGUGUUGUAUUAAGCAGGUUAGGUGGAAACGUGAGUUAUCUCGCCCCAUUAUCAUUGUGAAGGUAAGAAAUUAAAUUAAAGUGUUUAUUUGAAUUGUUUGCUGGACGAACUAUUUUUGUCUUGAUAGGUAAACAAAGAGAUUUGUAUGAAAUGGGAGAGUUAAUUCAUUUUUCCUUUAGGGAUGUUGAUAUUAGAAAGGGUCUAACGACAUUCGCUUAAUGAGACAGAUGGUCAUCAAUUCCCUAUGAGUUAAGAGACAAAUUUUGGUUCUAAUCCAAUUUCUUUUUGCGUAUCAUUUACAGGGGGGAAAGAUAGCAGCCGUCUGUGUCACUGUGAAUAUUUAGAAGAGAGCUGGUUACGUGCGAUUACUCGUGUGGUUUACCACAUCACAAAACGUUGUACGUGACCGUCAUCAUGUUCACACCGAACGGUAAGGCCAACCGCAAUUUCACCAGUAAUAGUCAAAUGGGAAUGUUUUUUUAUAAACACAUGCUACCUUUCCCUCUCAUUAAUCAUUGACACAACAUCUGCACGUUGUGUGGCGAAGCAGAAAAAUAUGGCGGUGGUGUUGAUUUUAUCAAAAAAAAAAAGCAGAAAAUGAGUGGAUACGUGUUUGGUAGUUGCCAUGCCCCCUCUAUCCGCCUCCAUUUGGAGGGUGAGUCAAGAACGUGAAAAUUGACAUUUUCAAAGCAGGAACGAGAAAGAAACAGACGAACCAGGUACUUGGCAAAAGGGCUCGAACGUUCGAGCCCUCAAAACAACACGACAGAUGGCUCAACGAUUCUUACCGCACUUGCGCACUGCGCAUCCUGUCAUCCCUCACGUAGGCCUCUGUUUCUCCAGCCUUUAAGGGCAAGUAUCAUAACGUGAUUAACUCCUUACAAACUUGAUACUAAUUUUAGUAAUAAUGGAUAAUGUUUUUUGUUUUUCAGAUUUGAACUCUA